rnacentral:rRNA from 1 species
CCUGGCUCAGGAUGAACGCUGGCGGCGUGCUUAACACAUGCAAGUCGAACGAUGAAGCCCAGCUUGCUGGGUGGAUUAGUGGCGAACGGGUGAGUAACACGUGAGUAACCUGCCCUUGACUCUAGGAUAAGCCCGGGAAACUGGGUCUAAUACUGGAUAGGAACGUCUACCGCAUGGUGGAUGUUGGAAAGAAUUUCGGUCAUGGAUGGACUCGCGGCCUAUCAGCUUGUUGGUGAGGUAAUGGCUCACCAAGGCGACGACGGGUAGCCGGCCUGAGAGGGUGACCGGCCACACUGGGACUGAGACACGGCCCAGACUCCUACGGGAGGCAGCAGUGGGGAAUAUUGCACAAUGGGCGAAAGCCUGAUGCAGCGACGCCGCGUGAGGGAUGACGGCCUUCGGGUUGUAAACCUCUUUCAGUAGGGAAGAAGCGAAAGUGACGGUACCUGCAGAAGAAGCACCGGCUAACUACGUGCCAGCAGCCGCGG